CACCAAAAUAUGAUCCAACACAGGAAAGGAAUGUCAGAAGAACAAAUUCUCCAUAUAACCUAUACUUGUCCUAUCAUAAACAUUGAUAACAUCACAGUUGAAGCCUUUCAAAGCAGGGAAAUUCAUAUAAAGAUUGGUAGAAAAUAUGCCAAUCUACCGGACCGGAAAGCUGAAAAGCAACAUUAAAAGAGAGCUGCAAUGAAACUAGUUCCAAACUGCUGCAGUAUAUAUAUCAUUUGGUUCAUUUAACUCAUACCUCAAAGCCAAAAGCAAGAGUCGAUAUAUAGUGAGUCACUUAGUCACUGCUAUUUUUGGGAACACUCAGGCUGGAAGUGAAAACCCCAUAUUGCAGCUCAGUGAACUCUGUUGUGUUUAUGUUAAAUUGAGCUCUCUAAUGCCAUGUUGUAACGUGUACUGUAUCCCUCCAUUCAUC
rnacentral:lncRNA from 1 species